UGCCUUCUUACAUAAGAGUCAAUAAUUGGUGCAAUACCGUGUGCUACCGUGCAACAACGCGUAUUACUGUGUUUUAACCACCGGGUAUUCCAACAGUGUAAACGGUAACAACUACGCCGUUAUUUUUAAACAACUUAUAUUUGUCGUUUUCUUCCUCCAAUCGCUUUCCGUUAUGGGGCCCACACAUGGCUGCGCCGUCGUACGAAUAUUCCCCGACAGUACGAAUAUUCCACGACCAA
rnacentral:lncRNA from 1 species